UUAAGUCCCGCAACGAGCGCAACCCUCGUUCCAUGUUGCCAGCACGUAAAGGUGGGGACUCAUGGGAGACUGCCGGGGUCAACUCGGAGGAAGGUGGGGAUGACGUCAAGUCAG
rnacentral:rRNA from 1 species